ensembl:lncRNA
AGCUAAGGGAGCUGGUGGCUGUUUGUGUCAUGGUGGUGCGUCAUUCAGGAAUUGCUGACCAGCCCUCUAGGGGCAGAGCUCACUGGCUGGUCACAAAUCCCACUAAUCCCCGUGGGCUGUGCUGCCCCAGCUGACUGCAGAGAGCAGCAGAGACAAGAUUCUCCCAGGCAGAGCAAAGGUGUCUGGCAAGACUGCCCAGAGGAAUUGCAGAUGGAACCAUCCAGAAGCCAGCAGAGUUUGAACCAAGAAACUUCCGGCAAAGGAGAUACUGUUAACGAAAAGAAGGAAGGAAGAUUGGAAGAAAGGAAGGAGGGAAGGGAGAAAAAAGGAAGAAAAG